GCGCUGCAGAGCUCUAUUGAGAGCUGACACUUUCUGAAUGCAGACGCGGAGGCAACUAAGGAGAGGUUCCUGUUCCCGAAAAGAGCUGAAGCUGGAUCUUGAAGAGAGGCCAUCGCGCAGAAAGGAGAGCAGGGAGCUCUGCAGGAUGCAUUUGAGGAGCCUGAGUAGGAGCCCAGAGCUUCCAGGUUCUGCGGUCAUACUGGAGGAAGGAGCCUCCUGGUUGGUAUGAGGCAGCAGAAUUGGACUGGCAUCAUUUCUGAAGUCAAGAAAUAAAUGUUACAUCAAAUGAUUGGUGUGGAUUUCCCAGUGCCAAGCCUUGUCUUACAAUAGGGUAAAAUGGUGUUUAGUUUAAAUUGUCUGUUAUCUGUGACCCCAAGGAAUCGCCUACUGGAGAAAGACCACGAUUGGACAAGUCACCCCUUACUGAACUACAGAGGGGAGCAACAGGCUUUGGUGCCCUCCACUUGCUAAUUCUCUGUUAUGCUCCAGCCUUGCCUAUGCAGCCAGGAACUCUUUAAUUCCUUCCACAGAGAAACAUGCCUCAGAUAUAUCAAAGGAGUUGAGACUUUGUCCUUUGUAAUGGCCAGUUCAGUGACAGCAACAUUUGAGACUUUGAUAUCUAGUCGUUUGAAAAAUCCCCAAACUUCCUAAAAAAGAAACCCAAGUUGAGAAGAUAACUUUGUGGCAUUGACUGUCACAUUCAUGGUUCAUGAGACUUGAGUUUGAUGCUGUGUUUUAAAAUUUUGUACCUCCCAAGGUUCUUCUGUCCUGGCAUGGAAUUGGUCUAUAUGUGGACCAAUCCCACACUGGGAGGGGCUUUUUGUCCAGGAUUUUGGUAUGAGUGCAGGAGGUUGCAGGAGCUCAGGUGAUUUUUUUUUUCCCCUCUAUAAUGCUCAAACAAAAAUAAGCUUGACUGCACAAAGGAGGACUUGAUUGCCUUGCUCUACCUCCCUCCACCAAUAAUCUUUGGACCUGAAAAGCUUCUCUCCUGUCUUCAAUGGGGAAGUAUUGGCUCUUUCUGGGGCUCCCUAAUGCAAAGAGGAAGAUGGAAUGGACAUGGUUCUUGGUGCUUCCAGUGGAUUCAGAGGAAGAUCAACCUACAAAGAAGAAAA